GUCAGUCACUGGGCUUGUUCGCGAAAUGCAUUUUGUUCUUCCACCGGAUAAAGGGAACGUCCAUCACUCGCAGCAGCGAGUUAUUGAACUCACAAAACUCGUAGGAAGUGGAAGGGAAAUAGCUGAUACAAUGUCGAACGCCGUCGUCAAUGGGCUGGCAGGUGCAGGCGGAGGUAUCAUCGCUCAGAUAAUCACUUACCCUCUCCAAACGGUGAAUACCCGCCAGCAAACAGAAAGAGUUGCCAAGAAGGAUGCCAAUUUACUUGUUCCCCAUCAACCCCCUCCUGUUGCAGGUGGUACUCUACUGCACAUGUUUGAGGUUAUUAGAAGCGAAGGUCUGGGAGGACUUUACAGUGGCCUCAUGCCUUCUCUACUCGGAACUGCUGCCUCGCAGAAUGCAAAGACCAACCGGCCUUCAUGAUCGCAAAGCAAACCACCGCCUGAGCAUCUUGUGCUUGAAACAGAAGCAUCCGUGUUUAGUUUCCAGCGACCAAGUGAAGGUUUGGAUCAUUUGACAACCAAAGACCAAUGUUUUGCAGGUGGGUGCACUUUAAAGAACCGCCGAAAGUACCCCUCAUCACGCUGAAUCUAUUUACUGGAUAAUAUAUUUACAGCUCCAAGCAACUCCAAGAACUGCUCUACACGAAAAAUAAUGGUACAGAAUUAAAGAGUAAGACAUGAAAGAUCAGAGAAAAAGGAAUCAGUCAUUCGUCUUGGGUUGGAUGCUAACUAGGACUUCUGUCUCCUCCUUAAUGUAAUGCAAAUCUCGUAUCUUAAGGAGAAACUGAUGGAACAUAGUAGUGAAUUUCUCUCUCCCAAUCCGGUUUCGGUUAAGUAAUAUGCAUAUCCAUCAGGUUAGUUUUUGACCUAAGCAUUACAGGGCUUCCUUGUAGGGUAAGCAAACCAUGCCUCACAGCAUUUAUUUGUACUUUUCAUUCUCAAAACAAUCUCCAGAAAGACUGAACUCCAGCCAAAUACGAAGCUUAAUCCAAUUCUCAUUGUACACUGGCUUGAGAGCUUCAAUCAGAUGCCGGUUGCAGGAGCAAAGCAAUAAAAGGUAUAGAUGGCAGGAAAAGCAUUAGAGGCAGACCAUCCAAGGUGAUUGUAGUUUGCCAACAAGGCUCUGUUUUUAUGGUCCAAUAAAAGAAGGAAGAAGGACAGGAACUGCAACUCCAAAAGCACAUAUACAUAGCUCAUUCUCCCUCAAUUGGGCUAGGCCCUUCCCGGUCCCUAUUGAAAAAGAAAGCCAUGAGAAGCUUUGCAAUUAGAACCAAGUAGGUAUUUAGAGCAGGGAAAGCUUUCCUUUCUUCAACUACAUUCAUUCAACUAAACUCUUCUUUCUUGCCGCAGCAACUUUCUUGUCUGCAACUAUACUACGAUUUUUCUAUUUAUAUUAUUAAUAAUUGAAAUUCUUGUCGAUGUCGGAAUAUCCCCUGGUAUUGAAUCUGCUUCAGGGUUGAGGGAAUAAGGCGCUGGAGAAGCGGGCCUUUUCUGUGGGCUUUCGAACUCUCCUUCCUACUACUCUUUUGCAAGAUAGCUUCCAGAAAGAGUGACAGUCUCGUAACUGCUGGUGAGGAAAGACUACUUUAGCUGUAAAGCAGUUCGAAGCAUAGAUCUAUUCUUCCUAUACCUAAUCCUCUAGUCAUAGAUGUAUUCUUUCGAAUACGCCCUAAGCAUUCGCGCCUUCAGUGCUACAGGGCCCUCUGGAUACUUCAUACAUCCCUUGGCUUCGGGUUACUCCCAUAUUUCAUAUGGGGGGUGACCCUCGUUCCCAAUAUCCUUCUAGAGCUACAGGUAACUCGAAGUUUGAUAUUCCAUAUCAAACUUCUACCCACCCGAUAAAAAUAGAGCUCUUUUUUUAGCUUACAGUUUGCAUUUAAAGUUGGAUCACUAUACCCAUGGAACUUGGAUCUUUAGUUAAAUAAAAAUUUAGCUGGAAAGAAAUGCGUAUAGAAAGGAAUUCUUGAUAUGAGACCCCUUGAGGUAUAAUCUAACAAGUGGGUCUUCAGACUCGCGUUUUGUUCUAGUGAGAUCGAUGUCUUCUUUUUGUUAAUAGAGUAAGGCAUUAUAGCAUAUAAAGUAAGAAUCGCUACACUGCCCCCUUGCUUCGCUCGCCUUCCCGAACUCUUAACUCUAGCUUGGUUGGGGACACCUAUAUCCAGCAAUGCUUAGCUCUAACAGCUUCAGCUUCUUUAGCCGCUAUAACUGAGCAUUUGUGCGUUAGUAAGAUUCUUUUUUGGGCACUAGAGUACGUGUGUGCACGUGUAUGGUAUGGUAGUUUUCUAUUUCGUAGAAAACACUUCUCUACAUUCAAUGUUUCAUAUCUCCAUUUGAGUUACCUAUAGCUCUAGAAGGCAGGGGUAGGACGCCCACAGGGCAGGCUGUCCCCCUCGCGCCUUUGGUGCUACGGGGCCCUCGGGAUACUUCGUUCAUCCCUGGGCUUCGGGUUACUCCCAUAUGACUAAGGAACAUUGUGGUGUAGGGUCACUUUCUGGUUUAGCUGAAAUGCCCUUAACACAAAUUUUUUUUUUUUGGGUAGUCAUAGAUUAUCAAAUUAGCUACCUUCCACUCAUAAAUCCACAAUGACCCUGCUCUCCUUUUGAACCACACUCUAUCACUGGCAAUUGUUGUGGUUAAACAAAUAAAAAAGUCUCAUGGCAUUGUUAAUUUGUUGUUUGUGGUUAUUUGUGCUCUCAGUGCAUCUUGCUUUCCUGACAUGUAGUAAUUACAUCGUUGCAAGCUCAAUUUGUUUCUUGCAAGAUGAAUGGACCAAACAUCAUUUUGUGAUAUGUCAUUGUAGAUUAAAUUUGGAACAAUUAGUAAAAUACAUCGUUUGAUUGAUAUGAAAACCCUGACAUUGCUAAAUUUCGAUUUAAGCUUGAGAUUAUGCUUGUCUAACACUUGCUUACAUUGUAUUAACCUGUAUUCAGUGUCAUAUAUCAAUUUGGGAAAUUUUACUCUAUGUGAUCUCCUUGCUGUGCUGCCAGGGUGUUUAUUACUAUUUUUACCAGGUUUUCAAAAAUAAGGCUGAGGCCAUUGCAGCUAAAAAUAUGAGAAAAGGUCAGGGAGAUGGUUCUGUUGGCAUGUUUUCAUGGCUUGUUGUUGCAGCUCUUGCCGGGUAUUUAAUGAAAUUGAUUUGCUACUUAAUGAUAUGGUUUCUUCGAAUAACUAUAUGCGAAGAUAGUUAGGGUUAAUUUUUAAAGUUUUGUUUAGCACUUGUUCUUGUUUGCUUUACCCAUGACAGUGAAUAUAAGAGAAAAUAAUUUUUUACUCUUCUGUCUCAGUCCUAGUGAUUCUUCUCAUGCUAGUAUCUCAUUAAAAGGGUCUCACAAUUUAGGUCUUUGAAUGUAUUGCUGACAAAUCCAAUUUGGGUUCUUGUGACGCGGAUGCAGGUACACAUGUUCCUUCUGCUGUGAUUAAAUAUUUUAUUGUUUUUGAAAACUCUUAGGUGGGAGAUGUGUUAGAAUAAAUGUAAUUAACAACUUGAUCUUAGUUGCACCUCAAUCUAUGUUACUAGUGUAGACAUUCCAAAAUUGAUGUGCAUUAAAUAUUUUUAUCUAUGGAAUAACGAUGAUUUUUUGAGGGGAACUAUGUUUAGAAUGUCUUAAAUGCUUGUUCAAGUACAGUUGCUGAGUUGCUCGUUAAGGGCUCAUUAGAUGUUGCAACCUUUUUUUAUUAUUAUUUUUCCCUUGUCCCUCAAUGGAGGUAGGGAGGGAAACUUUAAUGUUUGUUUAGAUGCAUCUUUUUUCUUUUGCAUUGAAAUCCAUAUGAAAGUUUUGUGUUUUCUAGCCAUGAAUGUGAUAUAAAACUGGUGCUAGAAACUUGGGCUGACAAGGGAAAAGUUGUAAAGGGAAAAGUCAUGGUUUAUGAAUGCCUGGGUCUAGGAUGUGAGGUUUUGUAGAUGAAAGUGAAAAAUUGCAGAUCUCUUGUUACACAAAAGGGAUGAGUGCUUGUUUCUUCACAGCUCGUAUUGUCAAAUCUUAAGUGACAAAUAGGCUGUGUUGUGAGACGAAUAUUUGACUGUGCAUAUCAUAUUUGAAUGCAAUUUCUUUUUCAUGCUUCCACAGACACACACCCAAGCUGAAAGAAAAAUUAUGGAGGCUAAAAGGGAAGAGUUGUUAAGAGAAGAUUAUGAAAACACAUUUAUGGGUGCUUUGCAAGAGAAAUUGGUUGAACUGGAAUCUAUCAAGCCUCAACCCUAUGGAGCAUUCGAUGCGGUUUGUCUUAUUCACCAUUAUGUACUUACAAUGACAUACGUUUUACUUUUAUAUUCAAAUGUUGGUAAGUGUGUUGUCUGCAUCAUCUGUGUGCCUCUGCUUUUCUUGUUGUUCUCUAUUCUUCUGUAAACACAAUACCUAUUGGUUAGCCAAUUAUUUUCAUGCCAUAAAUAAUUGCGUGAUGCUUAAAUUGAAUUUUCAUCCUCAAAAAGAAAAAUUUAAGUUCUUGGUUACUAGGCUUUAUGAUCAUCUGUGUUAUGCUUUAGUUUGGUGCAAAAUGGUAGCUAAUUGAUUAGUUCAUAUUUGCUUGUCAAUGGGUUGAUUCUUGUAUGUGACUGAUGAAAUAUGUUUCAGAGUGCAUUCUUAGUGCCUGAAUGCUAGCAUCUAUUGCAUGAUUCUUGAACUGAUAGUUGGUGAGCUUUUAAUCAAUCCAGGAAAGAAGUAUUUUGAAUGGAUCAAAUUUUGACAACUUCAUCAAUCAAGACAUUUUCCUUUUUCCUAAUUCUGUAACAGUUAUGCACACUAACCAUGGUGAUAAACAUGUGGCAGAAAGUUCUCUUUCUUUACAAUUUACCGGUGAACUUUAUGAUCGUGGGAAUUGUACUGUUGCCCAUCCAUUGAUAAAUGCCUACAAAUGUUAUUUUUGUGUUUUCUUUUAGACCUUUCUAUUGUCUUCUCUAAAUUCUUGAACAUAGAAAAUGGCUAAUAGCACUGGAUUUCCAUGAGAUAAGGUUCCUAGAGUAUUUUUUUUAUUUGAUGCCUAAACCUCCCAUUAUUUUCUACUCUUUAUUGUAAUCUUUCCACUUACCCCUACCCAUCUCCAAAAAAAAAGUCAGAAUAUUUUGCCUGUGGUUAUAUACACACUACAUGAUUAGCAGGCAUGUGAAGUUUAUGGUGAGUCUGGACUUAGAGGUUUCUGGAAAGGCAUCAUUCCAACACUUAUCAUGGUUUGCAAUCCAUCCAUCCAGUUCAUGAUUUAUGAAACUUCAUUAAAGCAUCUGAGGGCUACACGUGGUACAAACAAGAAAGCAGUAAAAAGUGUCACCGCUUUGGAGGCUUUCCUAUUAGGAGCCUUGGCAAAGCUAGGAGCAACUGUCUCAACCUACCCCUUGUUAGUUGUGAAGUCUAGGCUUCAAGCGAAACAGGAAAUAGGGGGUAAUAUCUCACAAAGAUAUACAGGUACGGUUGAUGCCAUUUUGAAGAUGAUUCGUCAUGAAGGAGUGUGCAGCUUCUACAAGGGGAUGAGCACGAAGAUUGUGCAGAGCGUCAUUGCAGCCUCUGUCUUAUUCAUGGUGAAGGAGGAGCUUGUUAAGGCUUACACAGUAUUGAUUAGUAGAAGACAUAAAAUCAUGGCAAAUAUGGUGCAAUGAGUUAAUUCAUAAAGAAUAAUUGUGUCUUACUGUUCCCCCCUUCUCCUGUUGUAGCUCUCUUGUCGCCGUUUUAGUGUUUUCAUAUGUAGUUGAAGUUGAGAUAUAUUUUCAAGAAUUACCUGGCUGUCAUAACUCUGUGCCUCGUCGAACCAUCCCUAUCCGGGGAUAUUUCAGUUUCAUGUAAGGCAUCUUCGGCCUGGAAUAUAUUGUGCUUGUAGGCAAAGUGCCUGUCAUUUAAAUUUGAGGGGACAAAGUAAAAGUGUCCCCCACUGUCAGGGGGUAUUGAGGAAUUAAAACCUAAAUAUUAUGGUCCCCAGUUGGGUGACAAAUAAUUUCAGAAACCUC